UACGUAGGGUGCAAGCGUUGUCCGGAAUUAUUGGGCGUAAAGAGCUCGUAGGCGGUCUGUCGCGUCUGCUGUGAAAACCUAGGGCUUAACUCUGGGCGUGCAGUGGGUACGGGCAGGCUAGAGUGCGGUAGGGGAGACUGGAAUUCCUGGUGUAGCGGUGAAAUGCGCAGAUAUCAGGAGGAACACCGGUGGCGAAGGCAGGUCUCUGGGCCACUACUGACGCUGAGAAGCGAAAGCAUGGGGAGCGAACAGG
rnacentral:rRNA from 1 species